rnacentral:rRNA from 1 species
AUGGCCACCGGAGUCGCGCCGGAGCCGGAGGACGGGACCGUCGUCCUCCCCGAUUGGGCGAUGCUGGAUCGCAUCUUCUGCAGCUGGCUCCACGACGGCCUAGACGUUGCUCGUGAGGCUGUCAAGAAGAACAAGACCGCCGCUCUAGUCGAGAUAGACAGCGGCCACUCCUGCUUCGUCUCCUUCACCCUCGCAGCUCCUCCACAGGCCUCCUCCUUCAACCUCCAUUGGCCGGAGAAACAAGGCUCAGACAGAUCCACCCUCUUUGCCUUCGUCCGGGCAACCGACAAGGACCUCAUCCUCUUCCAGGUCUCCAUCCCGGACCGGAUUCGCUACUUGGACGCCCCGCCAGAUCUGUUCGUCUACACGGCCGCCGGCCCUUCCCCCACGGUGCAGCAGCUCCCUCAUCGCAGGACAAAGCGGUUCUUGGCACAUAAGUUCAAUACCGGCAUCCUGCAGCUCGAAGCGGAGGACCGCUACAUCAUUGCCGACCUCAGUGUCCACCCCGAGAAAAAGGGGGCGCGUGCCGAACUCCGCGUGUUAAAUUCAGACACCAGGGAGUGGAGGAUCAUCCCCGAGGUGCCUGCUGGUCACCUCCCCGACCUCUGGUGGACCGACGAGGUGCUCGCUUUCGACGGCCGUUUCCUGUGCUGGGUCGACUACUUCUCCGGCGUCGUGCUAUGCGACUUCACCAAACGUAUAGACUCCCCGGUGCUCCACUUCGUACCUUUCCCUCUAAGAAUAAAAUACCCUAAUGAUGCACGGUUCCCAAGGUACUUCGCAGGGAGGUUCCGAAGUGUGUCCAUCAGCCAAGGCAUGAUGUGUUAUGUCCACAUUGACAAUGACUUUCAUGAGACAAUCUACAGCGACUGCCAUCAGCCUAAGCGUCCUAAGAGAAGCCCAGAGCAGCGGCAGCGGCCCAAGAAAAUCACCAUUUGGACUUUGAACAUGACGGAUGGCAACUCCAAGUUCGAGUGGGAGGUGCACCGCGUGAUCAACCUGGAUUGUCUCUGGGCACAGUUUGGCUACCAAGCUCUGGGCUUACCUCGGUGUCUUCCCGAGUUCCCAAUCGUCGGCGUCGAUGACCCAGAUGUUCUGUGCUGCCUAUUGAGGAAGAAGGAAUUUGAAGGCAAGGCGUGGAUGAUCAUGGUUGACAUGAACCAUGCAUAUCUCCGGUCAUGUACUCCAUAUAUCAAUCGACAGUCCUACUGUGCUAAGUGUGUGGACGCGGGCUGUUCUGAGUGUGUGAAGGACAAAAACAUGUUUCCUAAUAUGCCCUUACUUCCAGCAGUCUUCUCCAAAUACCUUGAAAGGCCAACAACAAUUAGCUUGAAGAAGCUCUCUUAA